UUAAAAUGUUAACCUGCAGGGGGAGGAACUGGACGUCAGUAUUCUUUAAUUUGAUUCUAAUUUGCAGCAAAGGUUGGGAGCCAUUGCUGUAGAGAAUACAAAUGCAUCCAUUUGUUCCAGAGAUGGAAGUACGGAAGCAGAGUAUGUCUGAGGUCACUUGGGAAAGAGAUCCAGGGAUGGGACCUUGGACCGCAAAGAUACCAACAAAGAUACCGCAAAGAUACUAAUGUCCCACCGCGACAGAGAUGGCUGCCGUCCUUUCUGCAGCCGCGUGGGAGGAAAGCACUGGCAAUGCGUAUGUGGCUGAAAGACGGUGAGCUCAGCGGAGCAGCCUGAGCGUGUUGAACACCCUGUCCUCGUCCCUGUUUCUUCACUAAGAUCCGCUUCUCAAAACACAUUCUCCAGGGGCCUGCCGGUGGCACUCAGAAUCCCAGUUUUGUUCACCGUGGCAAAGCGCCUGCUACACUUGCCGACUCAGACUCCCUCAUAGCCAAGAGUGACUGUCUGGAACAAAGGUGACCAAGUUCUGGCUGGAAGCUGGCUAGCCAUCUCUGGGAAAGAUUUGGGGGCUUUCCUUUCUUCCUUUCCUUCCUUCGUCUUUGUGCCUGGAAUGCAGAGUCCAGUGGGAAGUAGAGCAGCCAUCUUGCGACCACGAGGAGACCGCUGUGAAGGCAAAAGCCUCCUCCUGAGGAUCAUGCAGCAGGAAGAGAGAAGCAACGUUCCUGAUGUGACCAACCCUCCCCCAAAUGUCUACCUCUGGAAUUCUCGAGAAGUGUGAAAACGGAAAGCUUUGCUUGGUUACACCACCAUAGUGGGCCAUCUGUUACAUACAGCCCAAACGGCUCAGGCACCAAGAGCUGAAUAAUAUCACCCGAAAGGUGGCUUAUCGAUGACUCAGCCUCAACCUGGAAACAUCCUGCGUGCUCUCACUCACGUCAGAGCUGGAGCCCGUGCCGAACAGCUCUAUCUUUACCCCGGUGACGUAACCGAGAACUUCCUAAUUAAGAUCACAGAUGACACAAGUUGUGAGGCAUUAGUAAGAAGGUAGGCAUAGAAGUGAAAAUAGCAUUAACCGAGUAAAGAAACUGUUCAUAAGGAAGUUCAACAGGAACAAGUGAGACAUUUUUUAAAACAACCUAUAUAGACAAAUAGAAGGAUCUAUGCUGACUAGUUCCCUGAAUCGUCAACCAGUUUCACCCAGAAUUGUAACCAGGUAAGCAUGGCCAAGGUGCCUGGGUGUCCCUGAUGGAUUUAACACAUUACAGAGAAAAAGACAAGAAGACAGAUGAAAAGGGAAGGAGAGGCAGCAUGAGAAGGGGAAGAUGGAGAAAUGAUAGACAAGUAUGAUGUUGGAAUUGUGAAAUAUGUUCAAGG